rnacentral:rRNA from 1 species
GAUGAACGCUGGCGGCGUGCUUAACACAUGCAAGUCGAACGGAAAGGCUCCUGCUUGCCGGGGUACUCGAGUGGCGAACGGGUGAGUAACACGUGGGUGGUCUGCCCUGCACUUCGGGAUAAGCCUGGGAAACUGGGUCUAAUACCGGAUAGGACCACAUUUUGGAUGGUGUGGUGGAAAGUUUUUCGGUGUGGGAUGAGCUCGCGGCCUAUCAGCAUGUUGGUGGGGUAAUGCCUACCAAGGCGUCGACGGGUAGCCGGCCUGAGAGGGUGUACGGCCACAUUGGGACUGAGAUACGGCCCAGACUCCUACGGGAGGCAGCAGUGGGGAAUAUUGCACAAUGGGGGCAAGCCUGAUGCAGCGGCGCCGCGUGGGGGAUGACGGCCUUCGGGUUGUAAACUCCUUUCGCUGGGGACGAAGCGCAAGUGACGGUACCUGGAGAAGAAGCACCGGCUAACUACGUG